UACGUAGGGAGCAAGCGUUGUCCGGAAUCAUUGGGCGUAAAGCGCGCGUAGGCGGCCUCAUAAGUCCGUUGUGAAAGUCAAAGGCUCAACCUUUGAAAGCCGAUGGAUACUGUGAGGCUAGAGUCCGGAAGAGGCGAGUGGAAUUCCUGGUGUAGCGGUGGAAUGCGCAGAUAUCAGGAGGAACACCAAUCGCGAAGGCAGCUCGCUGGGACGGUACUGACGCUAAGGCGCGAAAGCGUGGGGAGCGAGCAGG
rnacentral:rRNA from 1 species